rnacentral:rRNA from 1 species
UGCAUGUCUCAGUACAAGCCAUAUUAAGGUGAAACCGCGAAAGGCUCAUUAAAUCAGUUAUGGUUCCUUAGAUCGUACCCACAUUUACUUGGAUAACUGUGGUAAUUCUAGAGCUAAUACAUGCAAACAGAGUUUCGACCGGAGACGGAAGAAAUGCUUUUAUUAGAUCAAAAUCAAUCGAAUGGCAAUUGCUUUCGGGUAAUUUGUUUUUCGUUCUAUUUGGUGACUCUGAAUAACUUUAUGCUGAUCGCAUGGUCUCGUACCGGCGACGCAUCUUUCAAAUGUCUGCCUUAUCAACUGUCGAUGGUAGGUUCUGCGCCUACCAUGGUUGUAACGGGUAACGGGGAAUCAGGGUUCGAUUCCGGAGAGGGAGCCUGAGAAACGGCUACCACAUCCAAGGAAGGCAGCAGGCGCGCAAAUUACCCACUCCCGGCACGGGGAGGUAGUGACGAAAAAUAACGAUACGGGACUCAUCCGAGGCCCCGUAAUCGGAAUGAGUACACUUUAAAUCCUUUAACAAGGACCAAUUGGAGGGCAAGUCUGGUGCCAGCAGCCGCGGUAAUUCCAGCUCCAAUAGCGUAUAUUAAAGUUGUUGCGGUUAAAAAGCUCGUAGUUGAAUUUGUGUUCCACGCUGUCGGUUCACAGCUCGCUGUGUCAACUGGCACGUCUCGUGGAACGUCCUGUCGGUGAAUGUUGUGUUGCUUCAGUUGCUGCACGCUUACCCAUACAUGCGAAAGCGCUUGUGGUAAAACACUUGUGUGGACCGUGGAUGGGGGUGUGUUUGUUUUCUGUUGUUGGCGCUUCAUUCGACUUUUAAUAGAUUCCUGUCACGGUGCUCUUAACUGAGUGUCGAGGCAGGCCGACACGUUUACUUUGAACAAAUUAAAGUGCUCAAAGCAGGCUAAAAUUUACGCCUGAAUAUUGUGUGCAUGGAAUAAUAGAACAGGACCUCGGUUCUAUUUUGUUGGUUUUCGGAACCCCGAGGUAAUGAUUAAUAGGGACAGAU